rnacentral:ribozyme from 1 species
UGCCCAGCAACUCCUAUCCCUACCUCAUCGCGGUACCGGCCGGAAACUAUGAGGGAAGAUCGGGUAACCAACCCCGUUGGGAACUUUGGUCGCAGCUGACAGGGAAGG